GUUUCUAACAGGCCCUUUUUUUACAGGAUCUAAAUGGCAGGUUCUUGACUGUUAACAAGGCUGCCCCAAGAGGAUCACGGCCAGAGCGCACACCACGAGUAUUUGAACCAGCUCCAAGAAUCUAUGUGGGUAACUUGCCAUGGGAUGUAGAUGAUGCGCACCUUGAACAAGUUUUUAGUGAGCAUGGGAAAGUGGUAAAUGCACGGGUAGUGUAUGACAGGGAUAGCGGUCGAUCACGGGGUUUUGGCUUUGUUACAAUGUCAAGCGAGUCUGAAAUGAAUGAUGCUAUUGCUAACCUUGAUGGACAGAGUCUGGAUGGGAGAGCUAUCAGAGUAAAUGUUGCUGAGGAAAGACCAAGGCGUUUCUAAUCUGUUGGCUGGUUUGUGAGAUUCUCAAGGCACUAGAUAGAUUUAAAGUCUCUGUAGUUUAUGCUUUCAUUAGUUGAAACGAGUGGUAGUUACAUUUUUUGUCAGCUUCCGAUGAGAGAACCGAGUGCAGUUUACACUAUGCCUCUUAGCAUUGUCGAGUAAUUAAACUUCAUUUCCUGGUAUCAUGGAGGUGAUUACUUUUUUUUUUUUUUUUUGGCUUUAUGUAUCAAUCUUGGUAGGAUGUGGAAAACUGCUCAAGUCUAUUUAUUUAGAUGUUAUAAAGAGGCAAUGUGUUUUUCUCUGUCCUGGACUUCCACAGGUAUAUGUGGAUUUGUGAGAUCAAAAGUCUGCAGCUCUGCUUUCUUCAUCA